UACGGGGGGAGCAAGCGUUGUUCGGAUUUACUGGGCGUAAAGGGCGCGUAGGCGGUCAGCACAAGUCAGUUGUGAAAUCUCCGGGCUUAACUCGGAAAGGUCAACUGAUACUGUGCGACUAGAGUGCAGAAGGGGCAACUGGAAUUCUCGGUGUAGCGGUGAAAUGCGUAGAUAUCGAGAGGAACACCAAUGGCGAAGGCAGCUCGCUGGGACGUUACUGACGCUGAGACGCGAAAGCGUGGGGAGCAAACAGG
rnacentral:rRNA from 1 species